GGAUAAGGUGCUGUAUAGGGUUCUUCUACACGUGAGAAAAAAUUAUGAAGUGCCGGUUAGUGCCCCUCUAAUGGAUGUAGAGGAUAUAGGAUAAGGGUUUCCUAAUUGUUGCCCUUUCAGUGGAUUAAAAGGGAUAAGGUGCCCUAUAGGUGCCCUUCACAAUAGGAUGCAUUCUAUUUAAUGGUAAAAGACAAAGUAGGUCAUUGCCACAUUUAGGUAGAGGUUGUAGAUUUAAAGAUUAAGUUUAAUUGAAAAUGGCUCAUCAUCAUAGCUUUUGCUUUUUGGUUGGGUAUAAUGUCCUGCUGUAGGUGCCUUUUUAACUUUUGCUCUCCUGCCCUCCAAACAGCUUGAGUCCACCGGUGUAAAUAAGUACUGACCAUGCAGUCUUGCCCCCGUUUUCUCUCUAUUCAGACUGUACAAUAUUUGGUCUGUUUGAAGCUGUGGUGAACUCAACCUUCACACAUUCUGCCCCUGUACCACAUCCUGAAGCCACACAGAUCAUGUGGGGGAUCAAUGAAGGAGAUCAGGUAGUUCCUAUAACCCGCUGCCCUUCACUCUGCACCUCCAGCAGAACCCGGAGACCCCUGUGUGAGAGAGUUCAGACAGUAGAAGAUGCUGCAUCAGGGAAAUCAUCACUGACUAUCAGUCCUGUGGAGAUCACAGACAGUUCAUGGUUAUCAUUCAUUGUGAAUGCUUCUUCAUGCUACACAUUUAAGCUUAACGUCAAAGGUUUUUCACAUCCAACACCCAGCCCUCAAACACUGCCGACCCAGCCAACAAACACUGAGGAGACUAAAGUAUUUCACUUGACUGUGUUUUUUACCCUGGCUUCACUUGGCUUUGUGUGCACCUUACUGACCCUCAUUGCAUGUACAUUAGUGUGCCGGAAAAAAAGAGAAGAAAGAGGCAUGCAACACGGUAAUAAACUUCUAUAGUUUUCUCCACUUUGGCUAUACAGUAAGAAUUUGAACAGUGUAAUAAUAGUUAACUAUAACCAUGUAAUAAAAUGUGAAUUUCUUCUGUAACGGGAAUCUUU
rnacentral:lncRNA from 1 species